GCCGGUGUGGCGGAAUUGGCAGACGCGGUGGAUUCAAAAUCCACUUCCUGGCAACAGGAGUGCAGGUUCGAUUCCUGUCACCGGCA
rnacentral:tRNA from 1 species